UCCUACGGGAGGCAGCAGUGGGGAAUAUUGGACAAUGGGGGCAACCCUGAUCCAGCCAUGCCGCGUGUGUGAAGAAGGCCCUCGGGUUGUAAAGCACUUUCAGCGAGGAAGAACGCCUAGCGGUUAAUACCCGCUAGGAAAGACAUCACUCGCAGAAGAAGCACCGGCUAACUCCGUGCCAGCAGCCGCGGUAAUACGGAGGGUGCAAGCGUUAAUCGGAAUUACUGGGCGUAAAGCGCGCGUAGGUGGCUUGAUAAGCCGGUUGUGAAAGCCCCGGGCUCAACCUGGGAACGGCAUCCGGAACUGUCAAGCUAGAGUGCAGGAGAGGAAGGUAGAAUUCCAGGUGUAGCGGUGAAAUGCGUAGAGAUCGGGAGGAAUACCAGUGGCGAAGGCGGCCUUCUGGACUGACACUGACACUGAGGUGCGAAAGCGUGGGUAGCAAACAGGAUUAGAUACCCUGGUAGUCCACGCCGUAAACGAUGUCGACCAGCCGUUGGGUGCCUAGCGCACUUUGUGGCGAAGUUAACGCGAUAAGUCGACCGCCUGGGGAGUACGGCCGCAAGGUUAAAACUCAAAUGAAUUGACGG
rnacentral:rRNA from 1 species